rnacentral:rRNA from 1 species
UGAGUUUGAUCCUGGCUCAGGACGAACGCUGGCGGCGCGCCUAACACAUGCAAGUCGAGCGGGAAGCUUUUUAAGGAUUCUUCGGAUGAAUUAAAAAGUGGAGAGCGGCGGACGGGUGAGUAACGCGUGAGAAACCUGCCCUAUACAGGGGGAUAGCCAUUGGAAACGAUGAUUAAUACCCCAUAUGACCACAGUAUCGCAUGAUACAGCGGUGAAAACUCCGGUGGUAUAGGAUGGUCUCGCGUCUGAUUAGCUAGUUGGUGGGGUAACGGCCUACCAAGGCGACGAUCAGUAGCCGGCCUGAGAGGGUGACCGGCCACACUGGAACUGAGACACGGUCCAGACUCCUACGGGAGGCAGCAGUGGGGAAUAUUGCACAAUGGGCGAAAGCCUGAUGCAGCGACGCCGCGUGAACGAUGAAGGCUUUCGAGUCGUAAAGUUCUGUUCUUGGGGAAGAUAACGACGGUACCCAAGGAGAAAGCACCGGCUAAAUACGUGCCAGCAGCCGCGGUAAUACGUAUGGUGCAAGCGUUGUCCGGAAUUA